UGCAGUCGUGUACAUUUCUGUGUAUUCUCUGUGUGAUAGUCUACACUCUGAAAUGGCUGCUAAUAGUAAACAUGUAGCACAUGGGCCUCUAUGCUCUGACUUGUGAACAUGGAGGAUAAUAAUAUGCUACAAACAAAA